GAUGAAGAACGUAGCGAAAUGCGAUACGUAAUGUGAAUUGCAGAAUUCAGUGAAUCAUCGAAUCUUUGAACGCAUAUUGCGCUCUCUGGUAUUCCGGAGAGCAUGCUUGUUUGAGUAUCAGUAAACACCUCAACUCCCUUUUCUUUUUUGAAAUUGGAGCUGGACUUGAGUGAUCCCAACGCUUUCUUCCAAGAAAGUGGCGGGUUGCUUGGAAUGCAGGUGCAGCUGAACUUUUCUCUGAGCUAUAAGCAUAUCUAUUUAGUCUGCCUAAAAAACAGAUUAUUACCUUUGCUGCAGCUAACAUAAAGGAGACUAGUUCUUGUGCUGACUGAUGCAGGAUUCACAGAGACAGCUUCGGCUGACUUUGUAAACUCGAUCUCAAAUCAAGUAAGACUACCCGCUGAACUUAAGCAUAUCAAUAAGCGGAGGA
rnacentral:misc_RNA from 1 species